rnacentral:tRNA from 1 species
CAGGGAGACAACAAAAUGUUUAUAUUAUUAUUUUGUCACCUUAGGUCGAUCGGUAUCUCACAUUCUUAAUCAAUUAAGAAUUUCAUUUCCUAAGUUUUUCUAGGUCACACCCAUUAUUUUUCCUGGGCCAUUAGCUCAGGUGGUUAGAGCGCACCCCUGAUAAGGGUGAGGUCCCUGGUUCAAGUCCAGGAUGGCCCAUAUCUCUAUGUUGGGGGUAUAGCUCAGUUGGUAGAGCGCCUGCUUUGCAAGCAGGAUGUCAGCGGUUCGAGUCCGCUUACCUCCACUGAUUACCACCUCUUCCAUAAUCUGUAGAAAGGAAAUUUUUUGAGUUGUGAUCAAAUUCUGAACGAAUCUAGCUUCCUAAUGAAAGUAUUAAGAUGCUGGACUCAUUGAAUUAAUUUCAUUGUUUUCAGAGAACCUUGACAACUGCAUAGAUUAUUUUUAAAGACAAUAAGCAUCUUUAAUGAUGCAGAUUUAUUAUUUGUGCGAAUGCAUUAAUAACAAUUCUAUUAAGCUGAUGCUUCAAUUUUGAAGUUAUU